rnacentral:rRNA from 1 species
GAUGAACGCUGGCGGCGUGCCUAAUACAUGCAAGUCGAGCGAAUGGAUUAAGAGCUUGCUCUUAUGAAGUUAGCGGCGGACGGGUGAGUAACGCGUGGGUAACCUGCCCAUAAGACUGGGAUAACUCCGGGAAACAGGGGCUAAUACCGGAUAACAUUUUGAACCGCAUGGUUCGAAAUUGAAAGGCGGCUUCGGCUGUCACUUAUGGAUGGACCCGCGUGGCAUGAGCUAGUUGGUGAGGUACAGGCUCACAAAGGCAACGAUGCGUAGCCGACCUGAGAGGGUGAUCGGCCACAAUGGGACUGAGACACGGCCCAGACUCCUACGGGAGGCAGCAGUAGGGAAUCUUCCGCAAUGGACGAAAGUCUGACGGAGCAACGCCGCGUGAGUGAUGAAGGCUUUCGGGUCGUAAAACUCUGUUGUUAGGGAAGAACAAGUGCUAGUUGAAUAAGCUGGCACCUUGACGGUACCUAACCAGAAAGCCACGGCUAACUACGUGCCAGCAGCCGCCGUAA